AGAGUUUGAUUAUGGCUCAGGAUGAACGCUGGCGGCGUGCCUAAUACAUGCAAGUCGUACGAGGGAAGUCCAGCUUGCUGGACGGAACGAGUGGCGAACGGGUGAGUAAUACGUAAGCAACCUGCCUGCAAGGACUGGGAUAACACCUGGAAACGGGCGCUAAUACCGGAUAGGUAACAAAGGGGCAUCCCUAUGUUAUUAAAGGUUAGAAACACAAGCAGAUGGGCUUACGGUGCAUUAGCUAGUUGGUGAGGUAACGGCCCACCAAGGCGAUGAUGCACAGCCGGCCUGAGAGGGUGAACGGCCACAUUGGGACUGAGACACGGCCCAGACUCCUACGGGAGGCAGCAGUAGGGAAUUUUCGGCAAUGGACGAAAGUCUGACCGAGCAACGCCGCGUGAAGUGAAGAAGGUUUUCGGAUUGUAAAGCUCUGUUGUAAGGGAAGAACAGCACGGAAAGAAUCCGUGAAUGACGGUACCUUACCAGAAAGCCACGGCUAACUACGUGCCAGCAGCAGC
rnacentral:rRNA from 1 species